CCUACGGGAGGCAGCAGUGGGGAAUAUUGCACAAUGGGGGAAACCCUGAUGCAGCGACGCCGCGUGAGUGAAGAAGUAAUUCGUUACGUAAAGCUCUAUCAGCAGGGAAGAAAUACUGACCUUACGGUCAGCAGACGGUACCUGAGUAAGAAGCCCCGGCUAACUACGUGCCAGCAGCCGCGGUAAUACGUAGGGGGCAAGCGGUAUCCGGAUUUACUGGGUGUAAAGGGAGCGUAAACGGUGCGCCAAGGCUGGAGUGAAAGGCCGCGGCUUAACUGCGGAACUACUGUGGAAACUGGCGAACUAGAGUGCGGGAGGGGUAAGCGGAAUUCGUAGUGUAGCGGUGAAAUGCGUAGAUAUGAGGAAGAACACCGGUGGCGAAGGCAGCUUACUGGACCGGAACUGACGUUGAGGCUCGAAAGCGUGGGGAGCAAACAGGAUUAGAUACCCCAGUAGUC
rnacentral:rRNA from 1 species